ensembl:lncRNA
GGAGAAGGAAAUGGCAACCCACUCCAGGGUUCUUGCCUGGAGAAUCCCAGGGACGGAGGAGCCUGGUGGGCUGCCGUCUAUGGGGUCGCACAGAGUCGGACACGACUGAAGUGACUUAGCAGCAGCAGCAGCAGCAGGAAGAAGCUGGAAGCUGUGAGACAGUAUUUCUCCAAGGCCGAGAAUCUGGAAUUAGAGUGACCUUUCGCCCACAGCAGCUGCUGAUUUAUCACAGGAUCUAUUAGAGUCUUGUCCAGAUGUUGAUGUUCCUGACAUGAAGCUGUUUAAUUUGAAAUUGGCUCAGCUGGAAAAUUAGGUUAAGGGAUUUUAUAACCAGAGUACAAGGCAGAAAAUUUACCCUUUUUUAUAAACCCAAGGUGCUCACGGUACAAACCACAAUUCAAGGAAGUUUCAGUUCUGGAACAGGCGAUGUUACACUGUACGUGGAGAAGGCUAAAAAUGUGGGAGGAAAGUUCAGAGUUCUUACCUAAGGAGUCACCACGGGGGCCUCAAGAAUGGCUGCUGGAAGCUGUAAAGACACUGCAGAUGUGUGGGAGCCUCAGGAAAGCUCAGGUGAGAAAAGGGGGCGACUCGCCCACCCCCGCCAAAUAGAGGGAGCAUGGACAUUUGCUUCUCAACUCUGCCCUCAACUCUGCCCUCCAGGAUUGUUGCUGCUGAUUAACUACCUGCCAGAUCAAACUUUCCAUCUGUAGGUGGUCCAGGUACCUGUCAGAAAGCCUGACCUAUUUAGUGCUAUGUAAAGUUUCAGAGCCCUCACCUCGUGCUGGAACCCUGCCAGGAGAGGCCAGGUGGCAGUGGCUGCUGCUAGGAGGAGCGGUUAACCAUGUUGGAGAGAGGCAGUACUCAAGAUAAGAACAUAUUAAUCCUCUGAGUGUGAGGCUAUAGACAACAGGUGGCAAGGCCCAUCCCUGCACCAAAGGCAGCUGCUGGAGUGAGAAAGAGUGCCAGGAAAGGGGAUCUUCAGGUGGGAAUCUGCACACAGCAAUUGACCUUCACCCUGAAACAUGUCCCACUCCACUUGCACCACUCACAAAGGAGUCCACGACCCCGAGGGUCAUGCACUCGGAACAUUCCCUAGAGCAGUGAUGCUAAAAGAGUCAUCCAGAACCAGCUACAGCAGAAUCCCUGACCUUCUGGUUAACAAUGCAGGUGCCUGGACCCCACCCCCAGCCACCAGAGUGUGAAUCUCUGUAGGUGGAAUGGUCUGCUGUCUUUCACAUCAUGCUGUGUAUUUUCUUCUUUGCUGCACAUAAAGGA